UACGGGGGGGGCAAGCGUUGUUCGGAAUUACUGGGCGUAAAGGGGGCGUAGGUGGUCCGCUAAGUCAGACGUGAAAUCCCUCAGCUCAACUGGGGAACUGCGUCUGAGACUGGCGGGCUUGAGUGCAGGAGAGGAACGCGGAAUUCCAGGUGUAGCGGUGAAAUGCGUAGAUAUUGGGAGGAACACCAGUGGCGAAGGCGGCUACCUGGACCGGUUCUGACGCUGAUGCGCGAAAGCGUGGGUAGCAAACAGG
rnacentral:rRNA from 1 species